rnacentral:rRNA from 1 species
UACGGAGGGUGCAAGCGUUGCUCGGAAUCAUUGGGCGUAAAGCGUACGCAGGCUGUUCGUUAAGUCGGGUGUGAAAGCCCGGGGCUCAACCCCCGGAAAUGCGCCCGAAACUGGCGAGCUUGAGUGCGGGAGAGGGAAGCGGAAUUCCUGGUGUAGAGGUGAAAUUCGUAGAUAUCAGGAGGAACACCUGCGGUGUAGACGGCUUACUGGACCAUAACUGACGCUGAGGCACGAAAGCGUGGGUAGCAAACAGG